UAUGUCCUUAAGUCAGUUCUGCAAAAUCAAACAUGAAACUUUAUGUGUUACUGUAGCAACCACAUUGAAAUUUGCUGUCUCAAAGUAUGGAUGGUUUUAUUAUGGUUGCACAAGGUGUUCUUCGAAGGCACCUAAUCCUGAAAAAGCUUAUGAAUGUUCAUGUGGGCAAAAAGUCGAACAACCUAUACCAAGGUACAUAUAAUCUAGAUGAAUUGCAAAUAAAUUUGGUAAUGGAUUUGUUAUUAAUCAUAUUAUUUUCUUCGUUUAAAAUACUAUAGGUACAAGAUUGAGAUAUAUGUUAGCAAUGGUGAAUCAAAAUAUCGAUUUGUAUUCUGGGAUUCCGAAUGUGCUGCUAUACUUGGAAUGACUGCUGAAUUUAUGCAUAACUCUAUGGUGGAGGUACAUUGUUAUACAUAAGUUAAAAUGUUAAUAGUUUAUCGAGUUGUAAAGUUCAGAUUAUCACUCAUGGUUGAUAUUUUAUUUUUCCAUUAGAAUGGAGAAGAUGAUCCAAUGGUUUAUCCUGAUGAGCUUGAAAUGCUGUUGAAUAAGAAAAUGGCUUUUAGAGUUAAGGUGCAGCCAACGUUUUCCCAAGCGUCUGUUUGGAAGCUUUGUGAUGAUGAAGCCUUUGUUAAAGAGAUUGAAAAUGACUACAUAGUAGAAGACAAUCAGUCUAAAACUGAAUAUGCAAAGUUGGUCC